AUAUCAAUAAGCGGAGGAAAAGAAACCAACAGGGAUUGCCCCAGUAACGGCGAGUGAAGCGGCAAUAGCUCAAAUUUGAAAUCUGGCGUCUUCGGCGUCCGAGUUGUAAUUUGUAGAGGAUGUCUCGGGUGGAGUACCGGUCCAAGUCCCUUGGAACAGGAUAUCAUAGAGGGUGAGAAUCCCGUAUCCGGCCGGUCCCCUCCCCCGCUGUGAGACUCCUUCGACGAGUCGAGUUGUUUGGGAAUGCAGCUCCAAAUGGGUGGUAAAUUCCAUCUAAAGCUAAAUACUGGCCAGAGACCGAUAGCGCACAAGUAGAGUGAUCGAAAGAUGAAAAGCACUUUGAAAAGAGAGUUAAAAAGUACGUGAAAUUGUUGAAAGGGAAGCGUAUGCGGCUAGACUUAUCUGCAGUUGCUCAGCCCGUCUUCUGGCGGGUGUACUCUUCUGCAGCUAGGCCAGCAUCGGUUUUGGCAGCCAGAUAAAGACGUUGGGAACGUGGCUCCCCUCGGGGAGUGUUAUAGCCCGUCGUGCAAUGUGGUUAGCCGGGACCGAGGCCCGCGUUCUGCUAGGAUGCUGGCGUAAUGGCCGUAUACGG
rnacentral:rRNA from 1 species